AUUGAACGCUGGCGGCAGGCCUAACACAUGCAAGUCGAGCGGAUGAAGGGAACUUGCUCCUGGAUUCAGCGGCGGACGGGUGAGUAAUGCCUAGGAAUCUGCCUGGUAGUGGGGGAUAACGUCCGGAAACGGGCGCUAAUACCGCAUACGUCCUGAGGGAGAAAGUGGGGGAUCUUCGGACCUCACGCUAUCAGAUGAGCCUAGGUCGGAUUAGCUAGUUGGUGGGGUAAAGGCCUACCAAGGCGACGAUCCGUAACUGGUCUGAGAGGAUGAUCAGUCACACUGGAACUGAGACACGGUCCAGACUCCUACGGGAGGCAGCAGUGGGGAAUAUUGGACAAAGGGCGGAAGCCUGAUCCAGCCAUGCCGCGUGUGUGAAGAAGGUCUUCGGAUUGUAAAGCACUUUAAGUUGGGAGGAAGGACAGUAAGUUAAUACCUUGCUGUUUUGACGUUACCAACAGAAUAAGCACCGGCUAACUUCGUG
rnacentral:rRNA from 1 species